GAAUAUUGAAUUAAUUAGCAUAAUAAAUAAGGAAUAAAAGUAAAAAAAAAAACCCUUCAACAACAUUUUCCUUUCAUUUUUCUCAAAAACCAUUUGAAAAGCUCUCCAAAUUCUCUCACCCCAUCCAAUUCUUCAGCAACCGGACCAGAGCUUCGUCCCCGUCUGUCGUUUUGCCGCCGUCGUUGGCCACCACGUGCAGUGGCCGAAGUUAAAAAAGUAAGUUUUUUUGUAUUUUUAUUCUUUUUAACAGAUAUACAUAGUAAAGAGUGGUCAGAUCCAAAAAAGAAAUGAAAAAAAGAAGAAAAAAGAAAAGAAUCAAAACAACAACCUUGGUAACUUUAGAUUCUACAAAAUUGCCUUGUAUGUUUGCUGUCUUCCCGAUUUGUGUGACCGUCUGAGUUCGAUCUCUGCUUUUAUUUGUUUUGGGUAUUUAAAAUCUUGGUAUUUGGUGUUAAAUCUUGUGUUUAUAUUGAAUCCAUCUUUUUUUUGCCUUGUUACAAUCUUUGGCUUUUAUAGCCUUUAUUUUUACAGGUACAAAAAUGAAAUUAUGGCGAACGUGGAGCCAUUGGAGCUGACAUGGGCGAGAGGCGACAUGGGGGAAACCGACGUGGGUGCGCGAACAUGGAGGACGUGCGUGGGAAGGCUUGCGGCGGAUGCAACAGAAAAGGGUGUUAGGGUUUUUCUCUUCUUUUUGAUUUAAGGUUAAAUAUUUAGGUCUAGGGUUAAUUUAGGGCUUGAGUAAUUUGAGCUUCAAAAUUGGGUUAAUUUUAUUUUGUUUUUGAUUUGAUUUUGAGUCUAUUUUUAGUCUUUGGGGUUUGUUUUUGGUUUAAAAAUUUGGGCUUUUAUGGUAAAUAGGCCCGGGCAAAAAUUUGUACCCACAAAGAUAAUAAUAAUAAUAAUAAUAAUAAUAAUAGUAAUAAUAUGUAUUAAAUGGUAAAAGAAUAAUAGUAACAAUAAUUUUUUUUAAAAAUGAUAAUAGUAAUAAAAAUAAAAAUAAUAGUAGUGAUAAUAAUAAUAAUAAUAAUAAUAAUAAUAAAUAGUAAUAAUAAUACAUUAAUAAUAAUAUGUUUAUAACAAUAAAUUAAUGAAUUAAUAACAUAACAGUAAGUAAAUAAACAUAAAAAUAAAAUAAUUAUAAUAGUAAUAUUAACAAAAUAAUAAUAAUAAUAAUAAUAAUAAUAAUAAUAAAAUGAUAACAAUGAUAUUAAUAAAAUAAUAGAAAAUAAUAAUACAUUAAUAAUAAUAUAUGUUAAUAACAAUAAUAAUAUAUAAAAUAAUAAUAUGGUAAAAAAUAAUAAUAAUGUAUUAAUAAGAAUGAUAAUAAUAAAAUAAGAUUAUAAUAAUAGUAUUAAUAAAAAUAGACAUAAAAAGAUAGUAAUAAU
rnacentral:lncRNA from 1 species